rnacentral:rRNA from 1 species
GCUAACCUGGGGCCAGCAGGCGCGGUAAUGAGGGGGGGUGGAGCUUGAUGCGGAAUUGCUGGGCGUAAAGGGUGCGUAGGUGGUUACGGAAGUUAGGUGUGAAAGUCCCGGGCUUAACCUGGGGAUUGCGCCUGAUACUGCGUGGCUAGAGUACUGUAGAGGAAAGUAGAAUUUCCGGUGUAGCGGUGAAAUGCGUAGAUAUCGGAAGGAAUAUCGGUGGCGAAGGCGACUUUCUGGACAGAUACUGACACUGAGGCACGAAAGCGUGGGGAGCAAACAGGAUUAGAUACCCGAGUAGUC